UACGUAGGGUGCAAGCGUUGUCCGGAAUUAUUGGGCGUAAAGAGCUCGUAGGCGGUCUGUCGCGUCGGAUGUGAAAACUCGGGGCUCAACCCCGGGCCUGCAUUCGAUACGGGCAGACUAGAGUACGGCAGGGGAGACUGGAAUUCCUGGUGUAGCGGUGAAAUGCGCAGAUAUCAGGAGGAACACCGGUGGCGAAGGCGGGUCUCUGGGCCGUAACUGACGCUGAGGAGCGAAAGCGUGGGGAGCGAACAGG
rnacentral:rRNA from 1 species